rnacentral:rRNA from 1 species
CCUACGGGGUGCAGCAGUAGGGAAUAUUGCUCAAUGGGGGAAACCCUGAAGCAGCAACGCCGCGUGGAGGAUGAAGGUUUUAGGAUUGUAAACUCCUUUUGUGAGAGAAGAUAAUGACGGUAUCUCACGAAUAAGCACCGGCUAACUCCGUGCCAGCAGCCGCGGUAAUACGGAGGGUGCAAGCGUUACUCGGAAUCACUGGGCGUAAAGAGAGCGGAGGCGGGCUUGGAAAUCAGAUGUGAAAUCCUGUUGCUUAAACAAAGAACUGCAUUUGAAAAUUUUAUUCUAGAGUGUGGGAGGGGGAGGGGGAAAUCCUGGGGGUAGGGGAAAAGUCGG